UGCGAUAGAUCCGAUGGAUAGGACCAGUUAUAGAAAGAAGAAGAGAGGCUCCGAAGCAAUGGCGCUCGCGGACUUUUGUGCCUAUUCCUCGAGCUCCCUUUUCCAAUUUUGAUGCUUGAUUUGCCUAUCUGGGUAUUACUCACAUAACAACAAUUACCUCAAGAUAUGUUGAUGCUAUAAGGCCACAUGGUGAAGGGAAACCCGGAGCGGUUGAUACCGGUGAAGCUCUAUUGUUGUUGAGUCUUCACUGAGUGUUUUGAGGCACGGCUGUAGGUUCUAAGGAAAAUCUACUGGUACUUGGUUCUAUCACCACAUAAUCCUAUGUAGUCAAGCCUUCUUAAUGCCGCUUUAAGGAUCAAAAUCUCUCAUAUAUUACCCAAUUCAGGUUGCUUCUGAAACAAUUGGUCACA